rnacentral:rRNA from 1 species
CUGGCGGUGCGCCUUAUGCAUGCAAGUCGAGCGAAGCUUUUCAGUAGUUUACUACAGAAAAUGACUGAGCGGCGAACGGGUGAGUAACGCGUGAGCAAUCUACCUUAGUUACAGGGAUAGCCCGAGGAAACUCGGAUUAAUACCUGAUAUUCUUUAUAUUUCGCAUGAAAUUAAAAGGAAAGGUCAGCCGAACUAAGAUGAGCUCGCGUUCUAUCAGCUAGUUGGUGAGGUAAAAGCUCACCAAGGCUACGACGGAUAGCUGGUCUGAGAGGACGAUCAGCCACACUGGGACUGAGACACGGACCAGACUUCUACGGAAGGCAGCAGUAAGGAAUAUUGGACAAUGGAGGCAACUCUGAUCCAGCCAUGCCGCGUGAAGGAAGACGGCCUUAUGGGUUGUAAACUUCUUUUAUACAGGAAGAAACCUUUCCACGUGUGGAAAGCUGACGGUACUGUAAGAAUAAGGAUCGGCUAACUCCGUGCCAGCAGCCGCGGUAAUACGGAGGAUCCAAGCGUUAUCCGGAAUUAUUGGGUUUAAAGGGUCCGCAGGCUGUUUGUUAAGUCAGAGGUGAAAUCCUACCGCUCAACGGUAGAACUGCCUUUGAUACUGGCAAACUUGAGUUAUUGUGAAGUAGUUAGAAUGUGUAGUGUAGCGGUGAAAUGCAUAGAUAUUACACAGAAUACCGAUUGCGAAAGCAGAUUACUAACAAUAUACUGACGCUGAGGGGACGAAAGCGUGGGUAGCGAACAGGAUUAGAUACCCUGGUAGUCCACGCCGUAAACGAUGGUCACUAGCUGUUUGAUGUACAUUGGUACAUUGAGUGGCUAAGCGAAAGUGAUAAGUGACCCACCUGGGGAGUACGCUCGCAAGAGUGAAACUCAAAGGAAUUGACGGGGGCCCGCACAAGCGGUGGAGCAUGUGGUUUAAUUCGAUGAUACGCGAGGAACCUUACCAGGACUUAAAUGUAAGUUGCAUGAUUCAGAAAUGGAUCUUUCUUCGGACUACUUACAAGGUGCUGCAUGGUUGUCGUCAGCUCGUGCCGUGAGGUGUCAGGUUAAGUCCUAUAACGAGCGCAACCCCUAUCGUUAGUUGCCAUCAAGUAAAGUUGGGAACUCUAGCGAAACUGCCGGUGCAAACCGUGAGGAAGGUGGGGAUGACGUCAAAUCAUCACGGCCCUUACGUUCUGGGCUACACACGUGCUACAAUGGCCGGUACAGAAAGCAGCCACUAUGCGAAUAGGAGCUAAUCUUCAAAGCCGGUCUCAGUUCGGAUCGCAGUCUGCAACUCGACUGCGUGAAGCUGGAAUCGCUAGUAAUCGGAUAUCAGCCAUGAUCCGGUGAAUACGUUCCCGGGCCUU